rnacentral:rRNA from 1 species
CAGCCGCCGCGGUAAUACCGGCGGCCCGAGUGGCGGUCACUAUUAUUGGGCUUAAAACGUCCGUAGCCGGGUUGGGAAGUCCUCCGGGAAAUCUGGCCGCUUAACGGUCAGAAUGCCGGAGGAUACUCCCAGCCUAGGGAGCGGGAGAGGCCGAGGGUAUUCCCGGAGUAGGGGUGAAAUCCUAUAAUCCCGGGAGGACCACCUGUGGCGAAGGCGCUCGGCUGGAACGCGUCCGACGGUGAGGGACGAAGGCCAGGGGAGCAAACCGGAUUAGAUACCCGGGUAGUCCUGGCUGUAAACGAUGCGGACUUUGUGUCGGACAAGCUAUGAGCUUGUCCGGUGCCGGAGGGAAACCGUUAAGUCCGCCGCCUGGGGAGUACGGCCGCAAGGCUGAAACUUAAAGGAAUUGGCGGG